UACGAAGGGGGCUAGCGUUGCUCGGAAUCACUGGGCGUAAAGGGUGCGUAGGCGGGUCUUUAAGUCAGGGGUGAAAUCCUGGAGCUCAACUCCAGAACUGCCUUUGAUACUGAGGAUCUUGAGUUCGGGAGAGGUGAGUGGAACUGCGAGUGUAGAGGUGAAAUCGUAGAUAUUCGGAAGAACACCAGUGGCGAAGGCGACUCACUGGCCCGAUACUGAC
rnacentral:rRNA from 1 species